rnacentral:snRNA from 1 species
GUACUCGCCUUCGGCGGUACAUAUUCUAAAAUUGGAACGAUACAGGGAAAAUUAGUAUGGCCCCUGUGUAACGAUGACACGCAAAAUCGUUAAGCAUUACUUUAAUUU